UAACGUGAGCGUCCUAAGGUAGCGCGAUAAUUUGCUUUUCAAUUGAAGGAUGGUAUGAAAGGGUUAACGAAGAAGGUGCUGUGUCUAAAAAUUCAAUUUAAACUAACUUUAAGGUGAAGAGGCCUUUAUGUAAAAGAAGGACGACAAGACCCUAUGAAGUUUUAUCUUAAUUGGAGCUCUCAGGCUCUUAUACGAUUUUGAUGGGAGAUCAGUAGAAAUAAGUCUUCUACUAUCAUAUUAAUCUUACUAGUAUUUCCUAACUUUAUAUGUGUGGCUAGCUACUCUAGGGAUAACAGCGCAAUUUCUCCCGAAAGAUGGUAUUGGAGGGGAAGAUUGCGACCUCGAUGUUGGCUUUAGAUAUCCUAGAGGCGUAGAAGCUUCU
rnacentral:rRNA from 1 species